GAAAUAUUAAUAAAAAAGCUUCUAACUUUUUAAUUAAAUGAUUAAAAUUCAUUUAUAUUUCU
rnacentral:tRNA from 1 species